rfam:Fungal sp. No.14919 DNA, contig: Contig0007.
GGUCCCAUAACUCAGUUGGUUAGAGUGUCGUACUAAUACUAUACAAUAAUAGCAUUGGGAAAUGCGAAAGCCGUGAGUUCGAGCCUCACUGGGACCA